GAUGAACGCUGGCGGCGUGCCUAAUACAUGCAAGUCGAGCGAACAGACGAGGAGCUUGCUCCUCUGACGUUAGCGGCGGACGGGUGAGUAACACGUGGAUAACCUACCUAUAAGACUGGGAUAACUUCGGGAAACCGGAGCUAAUACCGGAUAAUAUAUUGAACCGCAUGGUUCAAUAGUGAAAGACGGUUUUGCUGUCACUUAUAGAUGGAUCCGCGCCGCAUUAGCUAGUUGGUAAGGUAACGGCUUACCAAGGCAACGAUGCGUAGCCGACCUGAGAGGGUGGACGGCCCCACUGGACCUGGGCCCCGUACCAGCCUCCUACGGGGGGCACAGUGAGGAAAUCUUCCGAAGUGGGCGAAGCCCUAACGGAGCAGCCCCGGGUGGGUAAGAAAGGUUUUGGUAUCAUAAACCUCUGUUAUGGGGAAAAAACAAUUUUGUAAGAAAAUAUACCCUUCUUAAGCGUCCCUAAUCAAAAGACCACGCCUAACCCCGAC
rnacentral:rRNA from 1 species